rnacentral:lncRNA from 1 species
UGAAUUUAAGGUUAGAUAAUACCUCAUAUUCUGUCCCGACGAAGGGUACAGGUGUGGGGUGUUACAUUUAGUAGUAUCAAAGUUAUGGUUUAGUCGGUUCUAUGACUAACCUAGCAAGAGUACGAGUCUAGCUAUACAUGCCAUAACUAUAUAUUGAUAGUGUGACAACUUCUGACGAUUAUAAAUUGUAUUUUCAUAUAGUAAAUGGAUCCUGAUAGAGCUACGACGCAUGACGUGGAGAGUAACACACUGACUCCCG